GGGGCUGUAGCUCAGUGGCAGAGCAUCUGAUUUGCAUCCAGAUGAUUCCAGUUUCGAUUCCCAGCAGCCUCA